CAGUAGCCACGGUAAUACGGAGGGUGCAAGCGUUAAUCGGAAUUACUGGGCGUAAAGCGCACGCAGGCGGUUUGUUAAGUCAGAUGUGAAAUCCCCGAGCUUAACUUGGGAACUGCAUUUGAAACUGGCAAGCUAGAGUCUUGUAGAGGGGGGUAGAAUUCCAGGUGUAGCGGUGAAAUGCGUAGAGAUCUGGAGGAAUACCGGUGGCGAAGGCGGCCCCCUGGACAAAGACUGACGCUCAGGUGCGAAAGCGUGGGGAGCAAACAGGAUUAGAUACCCGUGUAGUCCCUGUCUCUUAUAC
rnacentral:rRNA from 1 species